UCCGGUUUAACACCGGCAGUCUCUCUAGAGUGCCCAACUUAAUGAUGGCAACUAAAGACAAGGGUUGCGCUCGUUGCCGGACUUAACCGAACAUCUCACGACACGAGCUGACGACAGCCAUGCAGCACCUGUGUCCUCUGUCCCCGAAGGGCCCCUCCGUGUUUCCACAGAGGUUCAGAGGCAUGUCAAGGCUAGGUAAGGUUUUGCGCGUUGCUUCGAAUUAAACCACAUAAUCCACCGCUUGUGCGGGUCCCCGUCAAUUCCUUUGAGUUUUAAUCUUGCGACCGUACUCCCCAGGCGGGAUGCUUAACGCGUUAGCUAGACUACAGCGGGGGUCAAUACCCGCUACAGUGAGCAUCCAUCGUUUAGGGCGUGGACUAC
rnacentral:misc_RNA from 1 species